AUAUGACAGAGCUGGAAAAAGUAAAAAAGACAGAGAAAAGACCCCAAAAAGAGACUUCAGAUUCUACAUGGCAAGUGUAGCAGAUAAAUACUGUACAAGUUAUUUUACAAGUUACUUGAACCUGCAUGACUGUAAACAACUGGUUGAAAAGUUCUUUAAAAUAUGAAUUGAAUCAGUCAAGUGGUCAGUUAUUUUAGGGACAUCAUAAAAUUGACUGAAGUUCUAGUCUAAAUCGUAA